ACCGAGACUAGAGUCACAUCUAGAUGCUGUUGGUGAUCGUGGUGUGCUAUAGUACUCGGAGAGUAAUCACUGACCUUUAUUCACUGACUGUGUUGUGCAGUAGCAUAGUCAGUCACCAGGUUAGUGACAGAC